rnacentral:rRNA from 1 species
UAGGGAAUCUUCGGCAAUGGACGAAAGUCUGACCGAGCAACGCCGCGUGAGUGAAGAAGGUUUUCGGAUCGUAAAACUCUGUUGUUAGAGAAGAACAAGGACGUUAGUAACUGAACGUCCCCUGACGGUAUCUAACCAGAAAGCCACGGCUAACUACGUGCCAGCAGCCGCGGUAAUACGUAGGUGGCAAGCGUUGUCCGGAUUUAUUGGGCGUAAAGCGAGCGCAGGCGGUUUCUUAAGUCUGAUGUGAAAGCCCCCGGCUCAACCGGGGAGGGUCAUUGGAAACUGGGAGACUUGAGUGCAGAAGAGGAGAGUGGAAUUCCAUGUGUAGCGUUGAAAUGCGUAAAUAUAUGGAGGAACACCAGUGGCGAAGGCGGCUCUCUGGUCUGUAACUGACGCUGAGGCUCGAAAGCGUGGGGAGCAAACAGG